ACGAUUAUAUCACAUUGAAACACUAGUUCCCAUACGAUCACAGAAGUUAAGCAACUUAGAGCCUGGUCAGUACCUAGAUGGGUAACCAUUUGCAAU